GGAGAGAUGGCCGAGCGGCUUAAGGCGCUCCUCUGCUAAGGGAGUAUGGAUGUUCAUUCUAUCGUGGGUUCAAAUCCCACUCUCUCCG
rnacentral:tRNA from 1 species